CUGUUUUAUUUUUGCUUAUCAUUUCACAUUUUGUCUUAUUUUGAAUAUUAUGUUUUAUAUAAUUAUUAGUUAGUGUUUGUAAAACACUAACUAAUUUUGAUUGCUUUUAGAUUUUGGAUACUGCCUCUACCAUUAACAAAUUAAAAAUAAAAGAAGCACUUCAUGUUAAAUGGGAAUAUCCUAAAUAUAAAUUUAUCUAACUAACUUACUACAUUAUUAUUGUUAUUUUAAUAUUAGGAGCUCUAAAGACCCAAACCGAAAAGAAUGCCUAAAGUGGUUUUCAAAAGAUGAAUUGACGAAUUUCUUAAUUCUUUUUGUUUCGUUGUGAUAAUUAGUCGUAUGAGAACGCUAACGAGAAAAAACUUUUUAAAUAUAGAAACAUGCGUAUUAUAAAGUUUACUUAUGCCUAUAAAAAAAUAUGUUUUACAUUAAUUAAUAAAUUAACUUUUUAGUUUCUUGUUAAAAAUUGUAUUCUGUAUUGAAGUUUAUUUCUGAGAAUUUGUAAUUAUACCUAAGAUAAUCUAAUCCUACAUUGUAUUUUAAUUUAUAAAACUCGAUAUUUUAAAAUAAAUAUAUUACUUUUUUAUCGCG
rnacentral:lncRNA from 1 species